rnacentral:rRNA from 1 species
AGAGUUUGAUCCUGGCUCAGGAUGAACGCUAGCGGGAGGCCUAACACAUGCAAGCCGAGCGGUAGAGUAUCUUCGGAUACUUGAGAGCGGCGCACGGGUGCGGAACACGUGUGCAACCUGCCUUUAUCUGGGGGAUAGCCUUUCGAAAGGAAGAUUAAUACCCCAUAAUAUAUUUGAUGGCAUCAUUAGAUAUUGAAAACUCCGGUGGAUAGAGAUGGGCACGCGCAAGAUUAGUUAGUUGGUGAGGUAACGGCUCACCAAGGCGAUGAUCUUUAGGGGGCCUGAGAGGGUGAUCCCCCACACUGGUACUGAGACACGGACCAGACUCCUACGGGAGGCAGCAGUGAGGAAUAUUGGACAAUGGGUUAGCGCCUGAUCCAGCCAUCCCGCGUGAAGGACGACGGCCCUAUGGGUUGUAAACUUCUUUUGUAUAGGGAUAAACCUACUCUCGUGAGAGUAGCUGAAGGUACUAUACGAAUAAGCACCGGCUAACUCCGUGCCAGCAGCCGCGGUAAUACGGAGGGUGCAAGCGUUAUCCGGAUUUAUUGGGUUUAAAGGGUCCGUAGGCGGAUCUGUAAGUCAGUGGUGAAAUCUCAUAGCUUAACUAUGAAACUGCCAUUGAUACUGCAGGUCUUGAGUAAAUUUGAAGUGGCUGGAAUAAGUAGUGUAGCGGUGAAAUGCAUAGAUAUUACUUAGAACACCAAUUGCGAAGGCAGGUCACUAAGAUUAA